UACGAAGGGGGCUAGCGUUGUUCGGAUUUACUGGGCGUAAAGCGUGCGCAGGCGGUUUUGUAAGUCUGACGUGAAAUCCCCGGGCUUAACCUGGGAAUUGCGUUGGAGACUGCAAGGCUGGAGUCUGGCAGAGGGGGGUAGAAUUCCACGUGUAGCAGUGAAAUGCGUAGAGAUGUGGAGGAACACCGAUGGCGAAGGCAGCCCCCUGGGUCAAGACUGACGCUCAUGCACGAAAGCGUGGGGAGCAAACAGG
rnacentral:rRNA from 1 species